UACGGAGGGUGCGAGCGUUGUCCGGAAUCACUGGGCGUAAAGGGCGCGUAGGCGGCCGUGUAAGUCACCUGUGAAAUCCCGGGGCUCAACUCCGGGGCUGCAGGUGAGACUGCGUGGCUAGAGCACGGUAGAGGCGAGUGGAAUUCCCGGUGUAGCGGUGGAAUGCGUAGAUAUCGGGAGGAACACCAAUUGCGAAGGCAGCUCGCUGGGACGUGACUGACGCUGAGACGCGAAAGCGUGGGGAGCAAACAGG
rnacentral:rRNA from 1 species